rnacentral:rRNA from 1 species
GAUGAACGCUGGCGGCGUGCCUAACACAUGCAAGUCGAACGAAUUACUUUAAAGGAAGUUUUCGGAUGGAAUUUAAAGUAGUUAGUGGCGGACGGGUGAGUAACGCGUGGGAAACCUGCCCUAUACAGGGGGAUAGCCUCGGGAAACUGGGAUUAAUACCCCAUAAAACUCUAGUAUCGCAUGAUACAUGAGCCAAAGAUUUAUCGGUAUAGGAUGGUCCCGCGUCUGAUUAGCUAGUUGGUGAGGUAACGGCUCACCAAGGCGACGAUCAGUAGCCGGCCUGAGAGGGUGAACGGCCACACUGGAACUGAGACACGGUCCAGACUCCUACGGGAGGCAGCAGUGGGGAAUAUUGCACAAUGGGGGAAACCCUGAUGCAGCGACGCCGCGUGAGCGAAGAAGGCCUUCGGGUCGUAAAGCUCUGUCCUAAGGGAAGAAACGGACGGUACCUUAGGAGGAAGCCCGGCUAACUACGUG